rnacentral:rRNA from 1 species
UACGGGGGGAGCAAGCGUUGUUCGGAUUUACUGGGCGUAAAGCGCGCGUAGGCGGCCUUGUAAGUCCGUUGUGAAAGUCAAAGGCUCAACCUUUGAAAGCCGAUGGAUACUGCAAGGCUGGAGUCCGGAAGAGGCGAGUGGAAUUCCUGGUGUAGCGGUGGAAUGCGCAGAUAUCAGGAGGAACACCAAUAGCGAAGGCAGCUCGCUGGGACGGUACUGACGCUAAGGCGCGAAAGCGUGGGGAGCGAACAGG